rnacentral:rRNA from 1 species
GKUGCGUGCGUCGGGGGUCGGCUCCUUCCAGUCGUAAACAAAACGACUCUCGGCAACGGAUAUCUCGGCUCUCGCAUCGAUGAAGAACGUAGCGAAAUGCGAUACUUGGUGWGAAYWGSAGARUCCYGUGAACCAUCGAGUCUUUGAACGCAAGU